rnacentral:rRNA from 1 species
CCUACGGGUGGCAGCAGUGGGGAAUAUUGGACAAUGGGGGCAACCCUGAUCCAGCCAUGCCGCGUGUGUGAAGAAGGCCCUCGGGUUGUAAAGCACUUUCAGUGAGGAAGAACGCCUGGUGGUUAAUACCCAUCAGGAAAGACAUCACUCACAGAAGAAGCACCGGCUAACUCCGUGCCAGCAGCCGCGGUAAUACGGAGGGUGCGAGCGUUAAUCGGAAUUACUGGGCGUAAAGCGCGCGUAGGUGGCUUGAUAAGCCGGUUGUGAAAGCCCCUGGCUCAACCUGGGAACGGCAUCCGGAACUGUCCAGCUAGAGUGCAGGAGAGGAAGGUAGAAUUCCCGGUGUAGCGGUGAAAUGCGUAGAGAUCGGGAGGAAUACCAGUGGCGAAGGCGGCCUUCUGGACUGACACUGACACUGAGGUGCGAAAGCGUGGGUAGCAAACAGGAUUAGAUACCCCAGUAGUC